UGCCCAUGUAGCUCAGUCGGCAGAGCGUCACCUUGGUAAGGUGGAGGUCACCGGUUCAAUCCCGGUCAUGGGCUCCA
rnacentral:tRNA from 1 species